UGGGGAAUAUUGGACAAUGGGCGAAAGCCUGAUCCAGCAAUGCCGCGUGAAGGAUGAAGUAUUUCGGUAUGUAAACUUCGUAAGAAUAGGAAGAAUAAAUGACGGUACUAUUUGUAAGGUCCGGCUAACUACGUGCCAGCAGCCGCGGUAAUACGUAGGGACCAAGCGUUGUUCGGAUUUACUGGGCGUAAAGGGCGCGUAGGCGGUGUGUCAAGUCAGUUGUGAAAUCUCCGAGCUUAACUCGGAACGGUCAACUGAUACUGUCACACUAGAGUACAGAAGGGGCAAUCGGAAUUCUUGGUGUAGCGGUGAAAUGCGUAGAUAUCAAGAGGAACACCUGAGGCGAAGGCGGGUUGCUGGGCUGACACUGACGCUGAGGCGCGAAAGCUAGGGUAGCAAACGGGAUUAGAUACCCACGUAGUCCCUGAGCGGGCUGGCAAGGCGCAU
rnacentral:rRNA from 1 species